rnacentral:rRNA from 1 species
GACGAACGCUGGCGGCGUGCUUAACACAUGCAAGUCGAACGGAAAGGCCCUGCUUUUGUGGGGUGCUCGAGUGGCGAACGGGUGAGUAACACGUGAGUAACCUGCUCUUGACUUUGGGAUAACUUCAGGUAACUGGGGCUAAUACCGGAUAGGAGCUCCUGCUGCAUGGUGGGGGUUGGAAAGUUUCGGCGGUUGGGGAUGGACUCGCGGCUUAUCAGCUUGUUGGUGGGGUAGUGGCUUACCAAGGCUUUGACGGGUAGCCGGCCUGGGAGGGUGACCGGCCACAUUGGGACUGAGAGACGGCCCAGACUCCUACGGGGGGCAGCAGUGGGGAAUAUUGCACAGUGGGCGGGAGCCUGAUGCAACAACGCCGCGGGCGGGAAGACGGCCUUCGGGGUGUGAACCGCUUUCGGCUGUGACGAAGCGUGAGUGACGGUAAUGGGUGAAGAAGCACCGGCUAACUACGUG